rnacentral:rRNA from 1 species
GUCGUAACAAGGUUUCCGUAGGUGAACCUGCGGAAGGAUCAUUAUCGAAUUGUCAACAUGGGUUGUUGCUGGUCCUCAGAUGAGGACAUGUGCACGCUCUGUUCACACAUCCCACUCACACCUGUGCACGCUCUGUAGUUCUGUGGCUUGGAGGACUCUGUCCCCUCGUCGUGGUUCUAUACAUUUACACACAUACGCUGUAACAAAGUCUUAUGGAAUGCAUGUCGCGUCUAACGCAACACAAUACAACUUUCAGCAACGGAUCUCUUGGCUCUCGCAUCGAUGAAGAACGCAGCGAAAUGCGAUAAGUAAUGUGAAUUGCAGAAUUCAGUGAAUCAUCGAAUCUUUGAACGCACCUUGCGCCCUUUGGCCAUUCCGAAGGGCAUGCCUGUUUGAGUAUCAUGAACACCUCAACUCUCAUGGCUUGCCAUGAUGGGCUUGGAUUUGGGGGUCUUGCUGGCCUGUGGUCGGCUCCUCUCAAAUGGAUCAGCUUUCCAGUGUUUGGUGGCAUCACAGGUGUGAUAACUAUCUACGCUUGCGGUGUUCCACCAGGGGUGACCCUCAGCAAUGGAGGUCUACUGGGGCUCAUAAAUGUCUCUCCUCAGUGGAGACAGCUUUGUGAAUGUUUGAUCUCAAAUCAGGUAGGAUUACCCGCUGAACUUAAGCAUAUCAAUAAGCGGAGGAAAAGAAACUAACAAGGAUUCCCCUAGUAACUGCGAGUGAAGCGGGAAGAGCUCAAAUUUAAAAUCUGGCGUGCCUCUGGUCGUCCGAGUUGUAGUCUGGA